rnacentral:rRNA from 1 species
CCUACGGGAGGCAGCAGUGAGGAAUAUUGGUCAAUGGUCGAGAGACUGAACCAGCCAAGUCGCGUGAAGGAUGACUGUCCUGUGGGUUGUAAACUUCUUUUAUCUGGGAAUAAAAUGUUCCACGUGUGGGCUUUUGUAUGUACCAUAAGAAUAAGGAUCGGCUAACUCCGUGCCAGCAGCCGCGGUAAUACGGAGGAUCCGAGCGUUAUCCGGAUUUAUUGGGUUUAAAGGGAGCGUAGGUGGAUUGUUAAGUCAGUGGUGAAAGUUGCGGCUCAAACGUAAGAUUGCAGUUGAAACUGGCAGUCUUGAGUACAGUAGAGGUGUGCGGAAUGCGUGGUGUAGCGGUGAAAUGCUUAGAUAUCACGAAGAACUCCGAUUGCGAAGGCAGCUCACUGGACUGCAACUGACACUGAGGCUCGAAAGUGUGGGUAUCAAACAGGAUUAGAUACCCGUGUAGUC